GACAGAGGCCACAAGCGUUAGGCGGAAUCACUGGGCUUAAAGCGUGUGUAGGCGGAUGGCUAAGUGCCUUGUGAAAUCCCCCGGCUCAACCGGGGAACCGCUGGGCAUACUGGUCGUCUUGAGCUGUUCAGGGGCAACUGGAACGAACGGUGGAGCGGUGAAAUGCGUAGAUAUCGUUCGGAACGCCAACGGUGAAAACAGGUUGCUGGGGACAAGCUGACGCUGAGACACGAAAGCCAGGGGAGCAAACGGG
rnacentral:rRNA from 1 species